rfam:Ciona savignyi cont_57946, whole genome shotgun sequence.
GCCUCUAUAGCUCAGUGGUAGAGCACUGGUCUCGUAAACCAGGGGUCGUGAGUUCAAUCCUCACUGAAGGCA